rnacentral:lncRNA from 1 species
GUUUCAAAUAUGCUUUUACUUCAAACAGUAACAACCACAAGAUGUCAUUUUUAUACCCAUUGGAGUAGCAGAAAUUAAAAUCAGAUCACAGCAAGAACUGGGUGAGAGUCUUGGCAAACAGGAAUGCAUAUAUUGCUGGUGGAAGUGUAAUUCAUUUCAUUUUGAUGAAAGUUUUUCAAUGCCUAAGGUUUACAGCAUGUAUUACAAAAUGUGGUACCCAGAACAGAAUGGACUACCAUGCAUACAAGUCGAAUAACUCCAGGCUUGCUUCCUUAUGACUUGAGGCAGGUCCUAACUUUUUUUUUUUUUUGUCUUUUGUCUUUUGGGGGUUGUACCUGCAGCAUAUGGAGCUUCCCAGGCUAGGGGUCAAAUCGGAGCUGGAGCUGCCAGAGAAUGCCACAGCCACAGCAACGCCAGAUCCGAGCCUCGUCUGCAAACUAUACCACAGCUCACCGCAACAUUAGAUCCUUAAUCCACUGAGUGAGGCCAGGGAUUGAACCCACAUCCUCAUGGAUCCUAGUUGGGUUCCUUAACCACUGAGCCAUGACGGGAACUCCAAAGCAGGUCCUAACUUUACACUCACUUCAUGACAGCCAUAUUCCAAAGUGUCAACAGAAACGCUGAGACAUAUUGCCAAGCCAGAGCUUCCUCAAUCUAUUAUUGGAAAGACAAGGUUUUAUACCUAAAAAUAGGCCUCCCUUAUACCAAGUGCUCUGCCUCUCUCUGCUACCACCUCUUCAUUCUGCCUUCACUGCUGCUACAAUCAGGUCUCCAGGAAAGGCAGAGGGAGAAAACUUUACAAGUGUGAAACACCACGCAGUCCUGAUGCAACUCUCCUCUUUGCCACAUGAAUCUUCCCCAACUUCUCACCCCAGACAUGUUCAGCUUCCAAUAUAUUUUUAACCCGUGCUUGAAAACUGCUCUAAAAUUUGUGCCCAAAUUUCUGGCUUUUAAGAGUUAACAUCUACCCUUUUAGACAUGCAGGGCUACUUGACCUUGGCUUGUGCAAAAACUCAGGCAUCUCUAGAGCAACAAAAACAGCAUCAGAGACCACAGUAGGUUUGGCGAUGUCAGAGGGCGGUGGACUUUGGAUGGGGAGGAGAAAGACUCACUCACAGCCAGUCUCUGGUACCAGCCUUUUACAACAUCAGUUAGGAAAUGCUGGGUAAGGGCAGGUGCUGAAUCAUCUCGAAGAUUCUUGGAGGUUCUUCGAUGGAGAUAAUCCAUAUAGAACACAGAGACAGAAGAAAACAGAGCGGACAUAUGGGGUAAAAACUGGAGAAUGAAGUAAACUACAUAGUGAAUGAAUAGACUCUGCUGGGGGGGCUGUUCCCCACUACGAUCCCAAAUACCUGCACAGUCACAUUCGACAUGCAGAACAUGGAAACACUCUCAAGAAACUUGAAUGGGAGUUCCCAUGGUGGCUCAGUGGAAAUGCAUCUGACUAGCAUCCAUGAAGAUGCAGGUUCAAUCCCUGGCCUUGCUCAGUGGGUUAAGGAUCUGGCAUUGCCAUGACCCGUGGUGUAGGUCAUAGACAUGGCUUGGAUCUAAUGUUGCUGUGGCCGUGGUGUAGGCUAGCAGCUACAAUUCCGAAUCGACCCCUAGCCUGGGAACCUCCAUAUGCUGAGAAGAAUUCAAUCAGUUUUUUUUUAAUUGAGGUAUAGUUGACUUACAAUAUUAUAUUGUUUCAGGUGCAAAACAUAGUGACUCAAUAUUUUUAUAGGUUAUACUCCAUAUACAGUUAUUAUAAAAUAUUUGUUAUAUUCCCUUGCUGCACAUUAAUGCUCUUUCUCUGAGAAUUUAAAACAUUUUUAUUGUGACCCUCAGCAAGGCAUAACUUUUAAGCUGUGACCCAGAACAAAACUUAUAUACACCCUAACAGAACUGAAAUUAAAGUUACAUGAUGGGGGAAAAAACUGUAACUGCAAUGUAUACAUCUAAGGAUGACCUGACCCCCUUGCUGUACAGUGGGAAAAUUAAAAAAUAAAUAAAUAAAUAAAAAAUAAAGUUACAUGAAACAGGGUUAAUCUCUAUUAAAUGCAUUCUGGUCUUUUCAAUUUCAUUCUCUGCAAUUCCAUUCCAUCCCAUUUCAGCCCAAACCCAUUCUAUUCCAUUCCAGUGUUUCUCUUUUGUAAAUGGUUGGUUAAAUACACACUAAAUUGAUUUCCCAGCCC